rnacentral:rRNA from 1 species
GACGAACGCUGGCGGCGUGCUUAACACAUGCAAGUCGAACGGAAAGGCCUGCUUUCCCUUGUGGAUUGCGGGUACUCGAGUGGCGAACGGGUGAGUAACACGUGAGUGAUCCGCCCCCAACUUGGGUAUAAGCCUGGGAAACUGGGUCUAAUUCCCGAUAGGACUGCAGGGUGGUGCCUGUGGUGGAAAACGAUUUUCUAGUGGUUGGGGAUGAGCUCGCGGCCUAUCAGCUUGUUGGUGGGGUAAUGGCCUACUAAGGCGGCGACGGGGAGCCGGCCGGAGAGGGUGGACGGCCACAUUGGGACUGGGAUACGGCCCAGACUCCUACGGGAGGCAGCGGUGGGGAAUAUUGCACAAUGGGCGGAAGCCUGAUGCAGCGACGCCGCGUGGGGGGUGACGGGCUUCGGGUUGUAAACUCCUGGCGACCGCGAGGAAGCCACCUGGUUGGAAGGGUGGUGACGGUAGUGGUAGAAGAAGCACCGGCUAACUACGUG